AUGAUGUUUGAUUUACAAGUGAAUAACAUUUUGUGCUGCCCUGAAGACUUCAACAACGGCGUCCCGAAGGACGACAACGACAACGACGGCGCGACAUGCCGCCUCCGCCGCCAUCGGAAAUAUGCCCCUUCUCCCCUUGGAACCCUAACCCCUAUCCCCUCGCGCCCCCUCUCCCUCUGCCACUCGCGCCCGACGCCCCUCGCCGUCAUCGUCGCGGCCAUUGUCAUCUCCGGCGUCCGGGAGCACGCCAAGGAGGUUCGCCACGGCCGGCUUCGUCCAUUCAGGGGACCAACUCAAGCCGGGACGCCCCUCCCCAACGCUUGCAUCGUCUUCCUCCGUCUCGGCCAUCACACCUCGCGUCACCAUUGCCGCUGCUUUGAGCCAUCCCCUACCUCCCCGACCUCGCCGUCGCGCUCGCGGCCGCCGUCACCAUCGUGCCCGAACCCCCGCGUGUGCGUAGGUGUAGUUGCUCCUCCUGCGUGCCGCUACUACUGCCUGCGCAUGCCUCGUCUACAGUCGUGCCCUUGCGCCUGUGUACGUUGUGCCUGCCGUCUCAUGCCUCUUGUAGCCCGUGCCCUCGCUCGAACCUGGCCGCAUUCCCCUGCGAGUGCCCUGCGCGCGCGUGCCUGCGCCCCCGCUCCUAUUGUGUGCUGCCUUGUCGUGCCUGCUGCUUUUGCUGUUGCCGCUAGCUGCUGCUCCUUGGUUGAUCCAGAAGCCCAGCCCACAGCCCCCGAUUCCUCCCCCUCUCCCUUUCCUUCCUCUGCCACCGCCGCCACCACCUGCGACCUCCUCGCAGCCGCUGCGACUGUCGCCACCACCUGCAACCUCCCCGCAACCGCCACCACCGCCCACACCCUCCCCAACGGCCGACUCUACCACCCCUUUUCUCCUCCCCUUAGCUUCUCCUCACCAUCGGCGACCUCCCCUCCCCCUCGCACCAGAUCGACCAGCAGGCCAGGCAUAGCAGAGUGGAGCGGACGGGCGUGCCAGAACCAGCAUAACACGGUCGCGGGCGGAGAGGGCGAGGCUGAGUCGCUGGCGGCGGCGGGCCCGAUCUGGGCGGGCAUGACGGACGGCCUACGCGAGCAGCGUAGGGGCGCAGGCAGCCGACGCCUCUUCAUGGAGGGCGUCACCUCUGGCAAGGUCAGGGACCAACGCCUGUCCUUCUCCGGGAUCCCGAAGUACCACUACAAGGAUCUGUGGAAGGCUACUGAUGGAUUUCAUACUGAUUUGUGUUUUCCCCUUUCUAUUUCAAGGGGACUGCUCAAGGAAGGGCAUGUGUGUUUCAGAGAUAGAUAUGGAAAUUGGGCGCUGGACCAACAGGAGAAGAGGAAGGAGUGGAAUCAACUGAUGUGCAUUACAUUUCUGUCUCUAUGGAACUCAGUUAUAUACUGUUUUACUUCCACCUUUCAUUUUGGAGACAUGGCUAACUGUUUUCUCCACUAUUCAACAUCUUGCCAUGUUCAUCUUGCAGGGGCAAAUUAUGUUUCAGUGAUACAAAUGACUGAUGUUGGUUUGGGUAUAUGUGGUCUAGAAGGUCGUCAAGUAGUUAUGGCCUCAGAUUUUGUUAUGGAGCAGUUUUGCUUUGUUAAGAAAUCGCUUAUUCGCAGAGGCACUGGAACCAUCAGAGUUUGGCUAUCCAAAUGUAUGAAUCUGCAGCAGCAGCAGCAUCCCCCACUCCCUUUUGACCUUUUUUUGACCUCUUGUCCACCUGGUACUCCACUCACUACUGGUUCUUGCCUCUUUGACCAUCCAUUAGGGCUAAGCUCGCAACACUGUAGGGGUUUGGAUAACUUAGAUAAUGAGAUUUUAGUUUUGGAGGUCGCCCUCAUGAGACCUUUUAUAUUGGAGGAUUUGAUGAUCACCCCUGCUCUUAAGCUGAGUGCUAUUCCUAGACUGUCACAUACAAAGGGUCGCCCACUAGCUAGCACCGCACAGCUGCCCCUCAAGAGGCACGCCAAGGAAUAUCGACAGGCCUACGAAGCACUCAAGAAGAAGCGUGGAGAGGGAUAUUUGCAAGAAUACGUCAAGUGCCUUCCUCCAUGUAGCAACCAUGUUGGCCCUUCUGCACUUUUGAGGCAAGAUAAAAAAGAAGCUUUGCAAGCAAACCAGCAAAAAAGGAUUCACUCGACUAAUACGGUGGAUUUGGUUGAAACCGGAUUGAGCACCGGGAUGUUUAAGGCCGAGUGCGUUGCAUCGUGCCAACCGAGUGCAUCGUUCCAGGCGAGUGCAUCGCCGGCUAAAGCCGAGUGCAUCAAGCCAAUUAUUGCCGCGUGUACCAAAAUAGAAGAUGCAAGCUUUGCUGAGCAAAGGAACGACAAACACAACAAAUUGGCUGUGCUCGAUUUUUGUGGAUGUAGGGGAGCUUACAUGCUACCCUAUGAGUUUCGUGCUAAAGAUAUUGAUGAGCAUCAAGAACAAAGUAAUAUGGCUGAACACAGUUCAGUUAACGAUGAACAUCAAGACCAAGAAAAUGCGGCCGAGCAAAGGUACACACCAAUGAUGAUGGGGUCAAGUCUUCGAGCAAGGAUAUGGUUAAAAAGUGCAUCAACCACAAUCUUGAAGACGGAAAUUCCAUCAAAGCUACAAUGGCGACAUCUAGCACUGGGGCAACGAGAAAAUUCAAAGACCGAUGCACGCACAAUUAAAGAAAGCAAAGGCAAUGGUAAGCACAAAGCUCCGAGAGGAUCGUCGUUUGUUCAACAACAACAUGUUAUAGACCGACUCAACCAAAAAGAAUUGGUCCGGAGCUCAACGAAGAAGAUGGACGCGGUCAAGCAAGUAUACCGAGUGAAAAAGGAUGGCCGCAAAUGUGCUAUUUCAGAUCCGACUCCAGAUGACAAAAAGCCAGCCGAGUCUAUGUUGGCUACUAAGGACAAGAAAGUGAAGCAAGUAACUUUCAAGGAUCCAAUCGCCGAGUUUGGAAAGGCCAAGCUGGAGGAUCCAAAGAAAGGCAAGUUCACAACUGACUUGCUAUUAAAGUCGGUUCAUGAGGAGUUACAACCAACUCUAGGGUUGACUCGGCCACUGAUGGAUCUAGUGCGAGUCAUAUGGUCGGCUGGAGAAAGCAUCUCUUAUCUGCAGGAUCCAAGUUCGGAGACAGACGUUGUUCGGCGGAGGCUUGACGGAGCAUUUUGA
rnacentral:rRNA from 1 species